CACCAGCUGGAGAGGCUUCCUUUGAGGAGAAGCUGACCUCUUCCAGAAUGCUGGAAGCCAAGCUUGCACAUUCUAGGCAGCCAUUUGGAAGAUUCUUCUCUGCGCAUGACCAGCUGAAAAGGAAAAACCCCGAAACAUUGGCACUGUGAUUUCUCCAUGUGAACAGUUUAGUUCGCCGAGGUGGACAUGCCUCAUUCAUGCUUAUGGAGUGACCGACCAGCCUUUAGUGACACCCCCUGAAAUGUGAGUCAUCCAUGGGUCACUAGUCAUUGGAGAAGAGCCCCUUAUACAAAACUUGGAGCUCAGACCACAAACAACAACAACAAUCCAAAAAAUAAAAAAAUGAAAAAUUAGGAGCAGAGACUAAAUGGAAAGAUGGAAAUAUUAAAAUAAAAAUAUUAUUUUAAAA
rnacentral:lncRNA from 1 species